ensembl:lncRNA
AGAAAUCCAUGUCCUUUUAGUUGCUUCCAAGAGCAGCACUUUAUUAAAAUUCUGAAAAAUUAGAAGUCUGAAAAAGUCCUUUUUGUCAUUAAGCCACUGUCAGGGUUUUGGAUGGGGCUCAAUAAAUAGAACAUACUCUGGAAUAAUCCAAAAUAAUGGCAAGUGGAAGGCAAAAUAGCAUGCUUACAAUCAGUCAAGUUAGGUUCGAGGGAACAGCUUAGUGAAAAGACCUGGUGAAUCUGCCAGCUGAGCCGUGGAAACAGAAUUCGUUUUGUGUUAUGAGCACAAUUCAUCAGUCUUCUCCAACCAGUCUCAGAUGGCACCAAAUCCCAUGGGGGAGAGCCUGUUUCUAGAGGAAAGUAGAGACUGUGAGCUUCCUCUGAGCAAUUUGUCCCCUGCCCCACGUUCCAGGGGAAGAUGGGGAGGAAAGAGCAGGCCUAUGCACCAGGGCAAAGCUGGAAGUGUAGAGUCCAGCACAUGCCGUUUGAGGGGAGCUCAUGCCCAAGAGGAAGGUGGGUGAAGUGGGGCACAUACAUGCCUAGUUCUUUUUCCCAAACUUCCCAGGCAGGGCACUCUCUCCACUGCCUUGGAGCAGAGUGAGUUAAGGGCAUUGGAGGGAACUGCCUCUUCUCCAUCAUGUCUUCUCAUUCAUUGGUUCAUUCAGCUUACACGCUUUCAGGAGUCAGGCACCCUACAGAUGCGGGGAAUGCAAAGAUGAACAGGAUGCGAUUUAUCCCUAGAUGGUGAUAAUAAGAACAGCCAGCAGUUACUGAGCAUGUUCCUUAAGGGAGGAUGUGUUUUUCAUUCAUUUCUCAUGAAACGUUCACAGCCACCAUAGUAGACAGAUAUUAUUACUAACUUCAUUUUCCAGCUGAAGGGACUGAGGCUUGACGAGGUUAAGGGUCUUGCUCAAAGUCACAGAAAUUAGUUAAUGCAGUUCUAGUUUUCAAAUGUGGGCAGUUUGGCUACAGAGCUGGUGUUCUUCACUCCUUCCCAUGGCACAGGCCAGUGGUGGAGACAGGCAUGGGGAGAAAUAAUUAAAGUGUCAUGAAGGAGGUAAGUGCCAGUGGAGGGCUGUACGGCAUGGUGAGGGAGCAGAGGAAGGAGUGACUACACAGGCCUGUGGGUAUGACUUUUGUGCAAUUUCCCUUGUCCAUUGCCAGAAAUCGACAUGGGGAGUCUUUUUGGGGCAUGCUUUGCUAUUCCUAUACGUGGACUCAGAUAUAGUGCUCAGUUCAUGCUGCCCCGCUGCCCCUCCCAAGCAUAACAGCACUGAAAAUAAUUUCUUCCUGACAUCUUGGACCCCCUCCAAGAGUUCUCUUCCAGCUUUUGGACAAGGCAGAAACAGGAAGAGGAUGUCCUAAUGUUCCCGGACUAGAGACUGAGUUGGAAUUUGGAAUAGUUUUGUGAUUAAAAUCCUUGUGAAGAUUCUAUCAUCCUAUAUGAUAUGUGUGUGUGUCCACACAUAUCAGCUAUGAUACAUGUGCCAUAGAGAAUCACUAAAAUCAGCUUAGAGAUUGGUUAAAUUUCUAUACUUCUAUGGUUUAUAGGGCUUGUGUAAAAAGAAGAUGAUUUUCUAUUUAUAAAUUUUCUCACUUCAAAGACUUUUUUAUGCCACAACUUUGUCAUAAGUUAGUAGCAAUGUAUCACAAUGUCUGCUAACCAUGCAAAACAAAUUCAUUUUUCUGUUUCAUUCCUCUAGGUAGGAAUUGUUUCAAUUGGACCCCCUUUCUCACAGCUUAUCUUUGAGAAAUGGACCAUCUGUACCUUUGGUUUUUAUAUCACUCGAUCCUAGAGUAGGUAUCAUUAAGUCGAUGUGACCAGACUGGAUACUGUACACAGGUGCCGUCUGCUGCCGCCAAGUGAUGGCCUAUUCAUGCCAGGAUAUUAAGUACAUCCUGCAGUUGGUGUAAACACCAGGUGGGAUUCUAAUCCAUUCAGCACAGAGCCCCUCGCUUUUUCCUCUUUAAUGAAUGAAAAUCUCUGGGAAGUCCCUACUCAAGAAUUUUCCAAAGCUUUUGAAGUCAGCGAGCCUCCAAAACGACCCAAGAAGAGAAGACCUAAUUACUCCCGAACCUCCCCAUUCACACUUAUUUCUUGGAGUGACCUCAGAAACUCACAGAGAAGUUCCAAGUUAACAUGCAGCCCCUUUCUUGUGCUAGGUUACUCCUUCAGGCUUUCGGGGUUGGAGAAAUUUUCUCUCCUUUCCAAAGUUGAAACUGCUUGGGAGCUUUGCUCCCCUGACUCAUUGCUACCCUAUUCUCCUCUUAGGGUUAUAGAGAAGACAAAGCGAGAGAAGGUAAUGCUCACAACCAUGGGAUACCUUCUGGGUCUUGAGUAAUCAAAGCAGGGUCUUUGGUCUGUAGAACAAAUGGUGACACUAUGAAGAUCCAACCAGAGCCAUCAUCAGGGGAUUUCCCAGGAGGAAGGACAGCCCUGCUAACUGAUCUGGCCAGAUACCACCACACAAAGGGGCACGGGCACUGUAACUCCACUCCAGCGGCCUCUCAUUCCUUAGGCAUACCGGUAUAUCCUACUGGCACAGGAGGUCUGACAAGCGGAGGAAUUUUGGAGAGGGCACAGUGCACUAGACUUGCAGGAAAAGAUGCUGUGUCUUCUAAGAACUUAUCUAUCCUCAAAGGAAUCACCCGAAAAUGCACAAUUGUGGCAAACCAGAGGCUGUCUCCCAAUAUUCAUUCUUUCUUUUUUCUAUAGUAUCAGAAUCCUCAAUAUGUAGCUAAGAACAUCCUGGAAGCUCUGGUGGUCAUGUGACUAAGUUUUGGCCAGUGGGGUACAAGCAGAAGUGAUGCCAUUUCUGGGUGGUGCCCUUAAAGGGAAGAAGCAGGCACUCCCUUUCUCCAUCUUACCUUUUGAUUGGCUGGACUGUGACUGUGAGGGUAAUCCAUCUUGGACCAUGUGGGUCCAAGGAUGGCAGAGCUACGUGAUAGAAGGCAUGUGGGUCUCGGAGCAUCGAGCUGCCAUUCCUGUCCUGGACUGUUUACUCCCAGACUGUUAGAGGAGAGAGGAAAAACCAUCUAUUGUGUUUAAACCACUGUUAUUUUGGGUUUCUGUCAAAGCAGUCAAGGUUUUAUCCUAAGUCAGUGACUCUGGAGUUCAGUAGGAUGGAGUCAGGUUUAGCUGAGCACAUUGCCUUGUUAAUCUCACGCGUCCAUUUCAACAGGUAGCAUUGCUCCUCCCAGAGCUCUGUAGCUUCCAUUUAGGGUGCUGCCUUUUGGGGGCUACUCAGAGUAAGAAAGGGCUAUGAAAUUAGGCCUCAGCUAGAAUUGGGAUUUGAGAUCUAGACUUUUCGCUUAGGCUCAAAAAUUCUGCCCACAGCUGUCACUCCAAACACUGCCCUCUUUCUCUGGCACUCCCUAAGAUCGACAUCCGUAAGAACAGGACUACUUUUUCAGACAUGACUACAGUGUUUGAACUUGUUGCUAGGACAUCUAUGGAAUUUCCAUAUUCUACCCCAGGAAAGAAAUCUAAUUUUUCUUUGAUGCCACAUUCUUCUUUAGCCAGAAAUACAAGGGAAACACUGUUUGCUGUGGCAUUUUGGCAGAACUCUGAAGUGUGGCCCGGAUCUGGGAACCCACAAUCCAAGAAUAAGUCACCAUUUGCGUACAAAAUUGUUGAAUUUGGGUAGAAACUAGGUUCAGCUAUGCUUGUGAAGCCACUGUCUUGCAGGGUCAAAAAGAGCUUAUUUUUCAAGCAAGUGUGUUUCACUGUUUACUGGCGACUACCAAAAUAAUUAUUUCCUGUGUGGGUCACGGAGAGUGAGGUAAUCCGAAGGAAAAUGUUCCAUUGUGCUUGCUGGGCUGGGCAGUGCAGCAGCUCCAGACGUCCCCUUAAAGCAACAGUCAUCGUGUUGGAUGGUCAAGUCUGGUUCCCAUGUCCUUUGGAGGGAGAUGCAUUUUCUAAUUAAUACUUUCAGGAUCUUGUGAGAGACAGCAAAGGUGAAUGUACACACACACAUACACAUUAAUACAUCUGUAGGUGCCAUUAUCAUGUGGUUCAUUUAGCCGGUUUUAUAGAUGUUUUAGAAAGAGAAUGUGUAUAUAAGCCAAGAUAAUGCUCUCUGCUCCUAUCAACGCAAAAGCAAAACUUACCGGCCACAAGUUGUUAUUGGUUCACUUGUCUGUCUUGAGCCACUUGAGGGCAUGCUUCAUUUGUCUCCAUCUUCCCAGCCCACAUAAUGGCCCAUGACUGGCUGUGAUGCCCAUUAAUCACCUGUGGAUGAGUGUAUGGCUUGCAAAGGAAGUGCAUUCCAGGGAGAGCACUAGUACUCCAAAACGGAUUUCUCUGGUGCUGUGACACUGAGAUGAGAGAGUUUGCCAGGAGUGCUGGCCAGCCAGGACUGGAGCAUCUCUGAGGUGCCAAACUCCACGGUCCCAGAGAUUAAACAGCUCUGUGCUUCCUACCACCAUCCUUUCUGGAGUCAGAGAAGUAGGCACAGAAUUAUCCACAUCACUCGGUAGAUCCUGGCAGAGCAAGUAGAGUGAACUAUGGCAGCCAGGUCAACAGGUGACAGAUGAUCAAAUUAGGGCAAAUGGGUUCCACUUCUUGUCCAUAAAGCAGAAGAAUGCUUUUGCAUGUACACUAUCUGAUACUUCAUCCUGCCUCAGCUUCCACUACUACUCUGGCAUAGGAGCUUACUGUGUACCUUACAGAGUACAGAGCUGCAUAUUGUAAAAGGGAAUGUUUGUUACUAAUUAAUCCAUUAACCAGUUUUUACUGAGUGCCUGCUGUGUGCUAGGCGUUGUAUUGGUGCUGGGGUACGGAGGUGAAUAAGCCAGAUGUGGUCUCUGCCCUUAAGAAGUUUAGCCUCUGAUGGAAGAGAUAGAAAAAUACACAAUAAAUAUAAGGAAUAAUUGCAAAUUGUGGCCAUUUAAGAAAAAUAAACUGGAUAUUUGAGAUAGGGUAUAAAAGAAGGAUGUACACAAUUUACGUAAAGUGGUCAGAAAUGACUUUCAGAAGAAGGAGAAAGCCUUGGCAAGAGUGAAGGGGAAGAACAUUCCAGAAAGGGGAAAAAGCUCAUGUGAAGGACCUGGUGCCUAAAACAAACUGGUAGUUUAGAGGAUAAGAAACCAAUGCUCAUGGGUCUGCAGCAGAGUGGUGAGGGGGAGAGUGUGCCUUAGCUGGCAGAAGUCCUCCAAGGAUUUUUGGGUCUACUGUCAAGGACAGAAGAUCACGUGGAGAAUGUGGCAUGCUUGCAGAGUGGUCAGGGGCCUUGAUGUUAUUAUCCAGAGCAAGAGGUCUGAGCUCAAGUGUGGUCCUUCUGCUAAUGCUGAAAAUCUCGUCUCAGCUACUGUGUCCCACCCUACUGAGUGAGCAGAAUGGAAAGUUGGAAUUCAUCUAAAAUGUGGGAGAAAAACAAGUGCAGGUGGAACUGUGGAGCUUAUGGUUCUGGCCCAAGCGUUGGGCCCCAAGGAGAAAACCACAGGUAGGAGUGGCCAUCCACAUUCAGUCAGUGUUUGGAACUGGGGGCUAAAGAGAACCCUGAUAUUGAGGUCUAAAAUGUUAAUGCACUUUCUGCUCCUCGAUCUUUCAGGCUAUAAGACAUCUGGGAAGUGUCCUUUAUGGAUGUCAUUAAGAUGCUGUCAGAUUCCACUUGAGACCACAGGGCAUGCAGUGCAUGCGUGCGUGUGUGUGCCCAUGUGCGUGUGUGCGUUCACGUGAUCCACAUGCAGGUGAAGGAGAAGCUGAUGGCGGCAGAGGGACUGGCUUACUCAGGGGUUCUUAACCAGGGGUCUGACAUAAUCUUGGGCAGGAAAAAAAUUACAUCUUUACUUUCACUGACCUCUCUAACUGAAGUUUAGCAUUUCAACAACACAUUUAGGCAACAAACCACAGAAAUCUUUGCAAUACUUGUGACUUUGUCAUCAUUUGAAAUCACAGAAUUUUCAAGUCACAUUAUAGUUGCUGAGACGUGGCAAAACAUCACCUAUGCCUAUCACAACUUUAGAAUUACAGUGGUUAUCCCACCACCACUCCAUCUUGUUAUUUAAUGUGUUAAUAAAGCGCAUUUAUUACUAUAUCAUGUUUUAAAAAAUAUUUGAAAACUGCAUACAAUGCUUCUGGUUUUCUUUGUGUUCUUAUGUAUUUUAUUUUUUGCAUUUCAAAAUGUAAUUGUGAGAAGUAGUUUUUAGGCUUCCAGACCACCAAAAGAAUAAGAACUGUCAGACUUAUCAGACAGUCUUGUCAACUGGAUGUAAUAAGAAUGUUGGGGACAAAACAUCCACAUGUUCACUUUCCUGUGAGGCCAUUUUGCCUUCUGACUGAGCAGAAAAAGAGAGGAGACAGUAAGUACUCGUCAACCCCAUGUUCAUGCAGAAACGUACGUAUUUUUAUCCAGCUUGUAGAUCAAUUCAGACACUCAGUUUCUGAGAAAUGAAAAGAGAGUGGUGGAUCUCGAGAGACUAGAGAAAGAUCUGAGAGAGAGUGCCCACAAUCUGGGGUACAACGGGUGCAUUUCCACAAACCCUUCCUAAGCAGAGAUCUGGAAAAAGAACAGACAAUUUUCUCAAAGCUCUGUCCUCCAGGGCUGCAGAAAGUCCGUGCUGUCAGACUGAGCCUUCCUCAUUGCCUUGGGCUGUCGCCCCAGAGUCCUCAGGGAUGAUGUCUGUAGGCACGAUGAAGGUCACUAGCCAGUCUGCCACCUCCGCUGCUUACCUGAUGGGUGCUGUUUGUAGAAAGUCUAAUGUCUUGGCAGAGACAUAGUACCAACAGCAAGCCCUGAGAAGUCUGCUUGGUCUCCCAAAGUCUGAGUGGCACCCAGAGGUAAGAAAUGCCUUCACGUGCCUCUCUGAAAUUAAAAUGCUUCUAUUUCUGCAUCUUGAAGGGAGGGGGAAGAAAGGAAAAAAGAGAACUUUGUUCAUUUUUUCAGAGAGUUUUGAAGUUGAAUUUAAAGCCUAGGAGGUCAUUCACUUCUCCCCUCCCCGCCCCGUCGCCCAUACAGCCUGAACGGUGGUUUCUGAAAGGCUUCUCCCACUGACUCACACAGCCUAGGAAAGCUCCUUCCAAAACGACAGUUUAAUGGCAGAGGGCAGGGAGUCAGAAGUCAUCAGCUUUCCCAAGAUCCCAAGUCUCAGAGCUGGAAGAAGUAUCUUUCGGUCCUUUUCUGCUACUUAGUAGGUCUUCUCAUCUAUAAAAUGGACCAACAGUAAUGGCUCCUCCAUAGAGUUUUUAUGAGAUAGUGCGUGUGCAUUGAAACAAGCAUGGUCAAUGUUUGUCAAUCUCUAACUGCUGUAACUGGUGUUUUCCUAGACAAGUAUGAUUGUCUCGAAGAAGUUUCCUCCUUUUUAUUAAUGCUAAGGCAUUCAUUUGCGCCCCAGGUGUAUUUCCUAUCAUCUCCUCUUUUCUCCCCUACAGAUGGUCCUCUCUCUCUUAUCUCUUCAGUCUUUCUCUCUGCGAUGUCUCCCUUGCCUGAGCAUGAAAACCUGCUUACCUCUCUGUCUCUCCCACCUUAAACAAACCCUCCCCUGCCCUCGCAUCCUGCUCUGGCUCCUGCUGCCUCCUGUCUCCACCUUUGGGACCUGUCUUCCUGCAGAGAGCCAAGGGUGGCCCGGGUUCCGGGCUGGUGGGAGCUUCCUGGUAGAGACUCUGUACCUGCAGGUGGGGCCUGUGGUUUUCCAGCAAUGCCCAUGGCUGCUGGGUCAGCCUGCCUGACCCCGUGGGGCUGGUGGGGGGCGGCAUCUUCGUCCCCCCACCAUAUCACAUUCUCUGGUACUGCUCUGUUGGUGAUAUUUGAAUCUCCGUCAGCCUGAUUCUUGUCUUUUUUAGUCUCUUAUUUGAUUUAGAGCUGAAUGAGCAAGUAGAAGGGAGUUAUUUGUUAGUCUCAAACCCCAGCCAUGGAAAAUGCCAUGAUUUAAGGGGCAGGAGGGGAAGAGCAGCCCGUGAUCUGAUCUGCUUCAUGGCUUCAUCAUAAUCCUGGGCAGGGAGCCAUUCCUCCCCUCCCCUUGCCCUUCCCAGUUCCUGCUGAACCGCUAGGAGGUCUCAGAAACCCCCUUCAGCACCCUGAUCCCGGCAGAUACCCAUCAGUUGGAGUUGAUGUAAGAGAUUAAACCUAUUUGAAAGCCUGGAUCUGGCAGGCUGAUGUCUCCUAAGUCUAACAGCAGCCCAGCCUGUGUGCUGAGCCACGUUGUGAGGGGUCCUUACUGUCAGUUCAAAGAACAAACUUCUUGCCACGGCACGGCCGGCUGGCUGCCUGUCACCUCCUCAGUGUUCCUUCUGUUCCAGCCACACGGAGGUUCUCCUGGUUCCCUAAGCAAGCUGCAUGCUCUUAGGCUUUUGCAAAUAGUGUCUGCUUUGCUUGGAAGGAAAGUCCAAUUCUUCCUCACUGCUGGUCUGGCCAAAUCGGCUUUUCCUGCAAACCACAGCAUCCAGCCUCAAGAAGCCUCUCUGGGUAAGUUAGGGGCUCUGCCUCGGUGUUUCUCCCAGACCUGAGUUCCCUGGGGACAAGGGGACUGCCUUGGGAUCCUCAGCGGGUAGAUCAAGGCCUCCUCCAUUGUGGGCACUGAACACAGCUUUGUUGGGUGAAUGAGUGAAUUUUCGAGGUCACCACAGACUUUCCUAUCCUUGCUUGUUCUGCUUCGAAGUCCCCUAAACAAUUCCAAUUUUUCUAGAAGAUUCCUAUAACAAUUUGGAGUAGCAAAGGUGGGCAAAUUUCAUACAAUGAACACCUAAGUAGCUUAUAUUCCUGAUGUGGAUGAGAUUUUCCCUCGGUUUCCAGCAUCGGUCCUGGCCCCCCGAUGAAGAGAAAGCCCGGUUAGGUUUUAGUCUCUCCAGGUCUGAGCAGCCUAUAAUGAAACAGAAGCUAGAUGCUGUGAGAACAAGUUUAGCCUGGAGUUUUCCUCGAGACCAUGUAUGAAAGACACCACGCGCACUGAGGUAUAAGUGGGUAUUUCUGGACGGAUUCUUAGACUAGUGCUAGAUUCGUCUGGACCUUGCCUCGGGCCUUGCCUCUUUGCUCUUGCUCCUUAAAGUCAGUAUUGGGCUUCUGGUAACAUCUCAGUUAUGGCUUUUUUUUCCUCCUCAAGUUCCUCGUUUCCCCCUCCAAUAAUUCUAGGAGAAAACACAAAAUCGUCAAUUUUAUCAUCUGUAUACACGGGAGGUUAGUAAAGUCUUUAGUGUGUGUGUGUGUGUGUGUGUGUGUGUAUUAAGAUGGAAGUACAGUGACUUAGAAAGAAAGUACUGCUUUUUUCUAAAACUUAAAGGAAAAACUAAGGCUUAAAAACUCAACAUGCUUUUAGCUUUUUAUUAUAUCUGGCACAUAGCAAUGCUUACUAAAUUCUAGCUACAAUUCUUAUUCUAACUGCUAAUAUUAUUAUCAGUAGUAAUAGGAUCCAGUGCUCGGAAGCUAGUGUGGGAGCCUCCUCUGCUGCCCCAGAGUCUCCAUAGGAAGUGGAGAUCGUGUCUAUGAGCUGGAGCUCACCCAAGCUACUUUUGGGACAAACAGGAUCAUGUGUUUGGGACAGAGGAAAUCUCCACAUGUCCCAGCGGCUUCAAAAAAUUAAAAAUUCAGCCUCACACAGGGCCCUUGGUACUUUUGUGCAAUUCCAGCAAUACAACGGGCAGCUGGUCUUCUAUGAGACCAAAAGAACGUGGCUCUGU